AUACGGAGGGUGCAAGCGUUAUUCGGAAUCACUGGGCGUAAAGGACACGUAGGCGGGAAGCCAAGUCUGAUGUGAAAUCCUACAGCUUAACUGUAGAACUGCAUUGGAAACUGGUUACCUAGAGUAUGGGAGGGGGAGAUGGAAUUAGUGGUGUAGGGGUAAAAUCCGUAGAUAUCACUAGGAAUACCUAAAGCGAAGGCGAUCUCCUGGAACAUUACUGACGCUAAGGUGUGAAAGCGUGGGGAGCAAACGGGAUUAGAUACCCUAGUAGUCC
rnacentral:rRNA from 1 species